rnacentral:misc_RNA from 1 species
GGGGUUUUUAUCUCACAAUAUCUUGUUGUAGCCUUAUUGUUGACAUUGUUCUUCAUGGGAAACACAUGUCCUAUGUAGAAAUUCAGUAUUUAGCAUCUGAUGCAGUCUCUGUGUUCACUGGUUUAUUCCUGUGUUAUGUGGGAUUCUUGAAAAUCAAGAGUAAAGGUACCCUUCUGGAAGAAACCCUUUUGAAUGGCGAUUCUAGUUUACCUAAUAACCUGG